AAUAACGGGACUUCGGUUCUGUUACUUAGCGGCGAACGGUCGCGUAACACGUAGGCAACCUGCCCCAAAGACCGGGACAACAGGGGGAAACUCUUGCUAAUACCGGAUGUGGUCACUUCCUCUCCUGGGGGGGUGAUUAAAGCGCGCUUUUAAGAAGCCAGAAGUCAGUAGUCAGAAGUCAGAAGAAAAGCCAAUGCCCCCGUUUGGGGGCGAGUGGGUUCUUCUGUCUUCUGUCUUCUGUCUUCUGACUUCUUAGGGCGGUGGCUUUGGGAGGGGCCUGCGGCCUAUCAGCUAGUAGGUGGGGUAACGGCUCACCUAGGCGACGACGGGUAGCUGGUCUGAGAGGAUGGUCAGCCGGACUGGGACUGAGAGACGGCCCAGACUCCUACGGGGGGCAGCAAUUAGGAAUCUUGUGCAAUGGGCGAAAGCCUGACACAGCGACGCCGCGUGGAGGACGACGGCCUUCGGGUUGUAAACUCCUUUUGAGGGGGAAGAAACAAAUGACGGUACCCCUCGAAUAAGCCCCGGCUAACUCCGUGCCAGCAGCCGCGGUAAUACGGAGGGGGCGAGCGUUGUCCGAAGUUACUGGGCGUAAAGCGCGCGUAGGCGGGUUGGCAAGUCCGCUGUGAAAGCCUGAGGCUCAACCUCAGCGGGUCGGUGGAUACUGCCAGUCUUGAAGGUGCUAGGGGGAGAUGGAAUUACCGGUGUAGCGGUGAAAUGCGUAGAGAUCGGUAGGAACACCAGUGGCGAAGGCGGUCUCCUGGGGCAUUCUUGACGCUGAGGCGCGAAAGCUGGGGGAGCGAACGGGAUUAGAUACCCCGGUAGUCCCAGCCCUAAACGAUGGAUACUAGGUGUCGGGGGGUAUCGACCCCCCCGGUGCCGUCGCUAACGCAGUAAGUAUC
rnacentral:rRNA from 1 species